rnacentral:misc_RNA from 1 species
GAUGAAGAACGUAGCGAAAUGCGAUACGUAAUGUGAAUUGCAGAAUUCAGUGAAUCAUCGAGUCUUUGAACGCACAUUGCGCCCUCUGGUAUUCCGGAGGGCAUGCCUGUCCGAGCGUCAUUGCUGCCUCAAGCACGGCUUGUGUGUUGGGCCCCGUCCUCCUUCCGGGGGACGGGUCCGAAAGGCAGCGGCGGCACCGCGUCCGGUCCUCAAGCGUAUGGGGCUUUGUCACUCGCUUUGUAGGCCUGGCCGGCGCUUGCCGAUCAACCAAACUUUUUAUCAGGUUGACCUCGGAUCAGGUAGGGAUACCCGCUGAACUUAAGCAUAUCAAUAAGCGGAGGA